rnacentral:RNase_P_RNA from 1 species
GAGUUGUCGCGGCCGAGAGGCUGAGGAAAGUCCGGGCAACGCAGAGCACCAUACUUCCUAACGGGAAGGCGCGCGCAAGCGUGACAGACAGUGCCACAGAAACGAUACCGCCCGCCCAGCGGGUAAGGGUGAAAACGCGAGGUAAGAGCUCACGCCGCCGUCAGCGAUGCCGGCGGGGGUAAACCUUAUGGGUUGAAAGACCAAAUAAACCGGGGCUUGAGGGCUGCUCGUCCGACCCGGAGGGUAGGUUGAUAGAGGCCUGCGGCGACGUAGGUCCGAGAUAAAUGACAACAUAAAACAGAACCCGGCUUACGGGUUUUCCU